rnacentral:lncRNA from 1 species
AGACAUUAGAACACUAGUCACGGAAAGAUGAGAAGGGGACUAGGAAGCUCCAACAAUGGUCCUACAACACCAAUCCAAAUGUGGUGGAAUACGUCGGUGGUCAGGGCUGUCACCACCUAGGGCUACCCCAACUAUCCAUAGAACUGGGUGCAAUCUUAGGUAACCUAUAGUCUAGACACCAUGCCUCUACUAGAAAGUACUACUCUAGUCACAAUUAAUAACUAGACCAUCCGAUGCGGGCGGAGAUCCUAUGCUAAAGUAUAACAACUAUACUAACCAAUCAAAUGUAAUGCAUAAAAGUAAAUAGAGAAGAUAAACUAUAUUAAAACAUAAGUCUUACAAGAAAAGAUACAAAGAUAUACCAGAACUCUGUGACUCCUCCGAAGACUCCUCCAGAAUCCGGGUGUAGUGCCGCUCUCCCUAACUCUCAACUAGAACUAAUCUACUAUAUUGGAAAGUUUAGCCUUAAUUCUCUAGAGGUGAGAGGUCAUCCAUUCGAGGGACGCCUCUACAUCUCCAUAAUGUGGUGCCCUAUGGAGGGGGUCUACCUCUUUAUUUAUAGCCUAGAAAAGCAUCCCACCUCUUCUGGACAGGCGAUGUGGGCCUAAUUCUUCCACCAUUUGCUCUGUUGGGCUAUUAUACAUCAACUUGGGCCUUCCAAUCAUUCCUCAUAUGAGCCCACUCAAGGGAGCAGCUUGGGGUGCCUCUCUUGGGCCUCUAUCAUGCCAUAUGAGCCUCUUCUCACGUCAUGGGACUUGCUUGGGCGUGGGGCCUAUUAGUGGUAAUUCUCCUUUAUUUGUAAAAUUAAUAUCUUUUCACUCCGGACUCCAAAUAUAGCAAAUAAUAUGUCCGUUUCGAUCGUCUCGAUGAGCCUGUUGUAAUGGUGUAGUCAAAAUCAUCAUUUGACAUACUUUUAUUUGAUGGAAAAUUGCAUAUUUCUACAAAACAAGCGAGAACACCAAAACUCAUGGAACUCAUUAGAAUUAAACCCUACAACUAUGCUUUAUGGUUGAUAUAAUGUUAUAUUAAGCAAUAGUUGAUAGUAUAAAAUAGGCAUUAAGGACGAUCAACAAGUUCCCCCAAGCUUACCUUAGCUAGUCCCUUAGCAAAUCCUAACAAGUAAACUUGGAUCAGAAGUUGCUACAAAGCUUUCACGCCUCACAAGUACACAAGUAUUCAAACAAGGACUCCCCUUCAAAUUAGAGUGAACUAUUCUGACUCAAGACUCACCCAUUUUACCUUUCACCAUGGGGCAUAUAGCUAUCACUUAGGUCUUGUGCAUUUGAAAGACAUAACAGUUUCAAGCAAUAUGCUACCCACUCUUUGAUCAACUAUUAUUCUAGAGUUUUGCAAUAUUUUUAAAUAAAACUUAGACUUUCCUUGUAUGACACUUUCUAGUCUCUCAUAUGUGGUAUUUUUGGAUCCUCUCCAAGGCAAGUGAGUAUGCCUUCUCUCUGCUCUCAAAAUAUGUGGUAUUUGUAUCACUAAGACAUAGUUGCCUUCUCUCUCUCACCCUACUUCUAUUUGGCUUAUGCGGAGUUCAUAGGUGGAAAAGAUAAUUCAAACCUACUUGCAUGUAUUGCAUAGUUAAACCUUGGAUCUAGAGAAACUAAUUAUACAAUCAAGUCAUAUGUGCAUGUGAGUGAAGUGAAAUGAAGUGAUAAGAAUGAAAGGGGUUAUGAGGGGUGAUAACUAAUGGUGAAUAUCUAAUUCUACAUUUGCUCCUUGGGGUUAACAUACCACCCUAACCUGAGAACAAGGAUUUCGCUGUCUUUCUUUUCUUUUGCAUUGGGACUUUUGUUCUCUUUCUUUCUUUUUCUCUUUUUCUCUCUCUUUUUCUCUUUCUUUUUCUCUCUUUUUUUAUUUUUUUUAAAGAUCAGCCAUCCCUUUUAAUUCAAUGAUAACUGGGGUAAGUGGGGCUUUAUUGGAUAAGUAGAAUAAGACAUCGAAUAUUUUUGGGUGUCUUCUCCUAGUGUAAGAGUAGAACAUUUUCUAAGUGGAUGUGGAAUGUGUGUGGGUGAAUGAAGAAAUGCGUACUCCUAGGGUAGAAGCAGCAUAGAUGCGUGUCUCCAGGAUAGAAAUAACACAGUGUGCAGUUCGUAUAUGUGGGUGGUACUUCCAAGAACAGAAGUAGCACAUAGUGAAUGUGGUGGAUGAAAGUGGUUGCAUACUUCUGAGGACAGAAGUAGCUAAGAUCAAUAGAUGGAGAGCACAUAAUAUUGACUUUAACUGCAUGACUAGUUCCAUAGGGACUACACAUCUUAGCUACUCUCAAUGCUUAUAGGUUAAAAUAUAAGUGGAGGUUUUACUAAUCUAUUAAGCAUGAUUAAUUGGCUGUGGUAGGAAUUUUAAAACUCUUGUCAUAAAGGAACUCAUCAUGUAGCAAUUUAAUAUUUUCAAAAUAAAAUUCUCUAGAAUUCUAGCAUCUCUAGGAGCAAGAUUGAUAGUAGCUCAAAACCUUUCCAUAUCAUAUCUGUCAACUACCUAGACUUAGAUCAAGCAUUUUCUACCCACAAGUUUUAGGCUUAGAGCAAAUCUUAUGUCUAAACAGUUGUGCUUAAAACUCAAGAGAGUAAAAGGUUGAAAACUAGGUACUUGCAAGGAAUUACGGCAGAGCAACUAUUCAUCAUCUCCAUAUAAGAGUUAAUUCUUGAGGUUCAUCUUAACAGAUUCAUUAGAAGCUCUCCUAGCAAGAUUAAUUAUGAAAGAUAAAACAUUCAUUGGGUUUCUAAGAUUAUUAAUCUUUUUAUCUUAUCAUAACACACUAGGAAUAAAUAGAUAAGCGAGUAAGGGAUACUUAGCUUGUGUACAAGGUUGCUCUCCCCCAAGCUGGAUGUUGACAUAGUCUGUUGAGAUUGCUAACGGGCAGUGAAGACGUACUAAUCCUCCUAGAGUAUCGUAGGUACUUGCUGUGAGGAACAGUACUUGCCUCGUGCGAACAAUACUCCGACAGGGCAAAGGACGUCCUUCUGCCUGUUAGUUCUUUUUGAUCCUUUGAAGCCUAUGAAGCGCAAAAUAGACAACAAAGCUUGUGGAACUGAUAAACAUUAGUAAUAAACCUCUAAGCUUUGAGAGUCUAGAACUUUCUUAUACCCAUUUAUCUUUUAGCAGGAUCAAUAUAUUUUUAUAUACUUUUCAUAUUUGUAGUAUGCAGACAGGAAAAUAAAUAUGCUAAAACUUAUUUUUGUGCCACCACAGUAGAUAAUUAUGUAAGCUGAUGCAUCACAUAUUAAAUACAUGGGGCUUAGUAGUUUUCUAAAUGCAAUGCAAUACAUUUUUAUUUUCUUUUCUAAUGCAUAACCAAUAAAGAUGCAACUACUAAUGCUGUUAAGAAAAAUAAAUAUGCUUAAAGGAAAAUGCAGAUAAAUACCAAGUUACCUCUUGGCUUGGCGUUCGGUGAUUUUAAGUCCUCUGAACAGGACCUGUUACCAUGUUAAUUCAUAGGUGCUUUAUCUGGUCCCAAAGGUGGAGACCAUGAUAGUUGCACCUCUUGAGAUGGUGUCACCUAUGUUUAUUGCUUCUCCAAUGGUUUGGAGUCAAGCACUAGUUCUGGGAGCUAGCAACAUCUUCGCUCUGUGUGCAUGUUCAUAGGUCUAGGAUCUUCACUUGUAGGAUUCUCGAGGAGUUCACUAAAGUGUGUCCUGCUCAUAGAGACAAGGCAGAGAUCAAGUGCAUGGGCUCUGUUGGUGGGAAAGCACCAACAGAACCAAAAGGUUUAUUCAUUAAACUCUAGCCUUUGGCACAUUGAACGAGAUAAAGUUGAUGUUUAUGUGUUUUGCUCAAUCUAAACAUGGGUAAUAGGAAUGCAAGCUCAUAGCAUUAAAACACUUGGCCGAUCAGAUUAUUCAACAUUAUGGAAGGACAGUCUAUCUAUGCAUUUAACUUCAUAAUUAUGACUAUCAUCUUCCAAAGAUAGGAUGUGCAAUAUUUCAGAUCAUUGAAUUUAAAACUACAAGAUCAAGAAAGUGAUUGUUAGGAACAAUCAUAAAGAACUAAACAUGAUGAGCUAAUU